rnacentral:rRNA from 1 species
CAAUAGCGUAUAUUAAAGUUGUUGCAGUUAAAAAGCUCGUAGUUGGAUUUCUGGGAGGGUGCCAAUGUCCGUCAACGUGCGUGUGCAGCGGCGCCCUUCCAUCCUUCUGUUAACGCCUCUGGGCAUUUACUUGCCGGCGGCGGGCUCAGAUAUUUUACCUUGAGAAAAUUAGAGUGUUUCAGGCAGGCUAGGCCGGAAUACAUUAGCAUGGAAUAAUAGAAUAGGACUAUGGUCUCUUUGUUGGUUUGAGGGACUAUGGUAAUGAUUAAUAGGGAUAGUUGGGGGCAUUAGUAUUUAAUUGUCAGAGGUGGAAUUCUCAGAUUUGUUAAAGACUAACUUAUGCGAAAGCAUUUGCCAAGGAUGUUUUCAUUAA